AAGGCCUUAGCUUAAUUAAAGUGUCUGAUUUGCAUUCAGAAGAUGUGGGAUAGAGUCCUCGAGGUCUUA
rnacentral:tRNA from 1 species